UUCACUCCACAUGCCUCUUCCCUUUGCUGAUUUUUUUUUUUUGGGGGGGGGGGCUUUGUGUCCUUCCACUGGAUUACAUCGUAGCCCUAAGUGUGAUUGUAUGUUAGGUCCUGUGAGUUCUCCCAGGAUAUGACCAAACUCGGGGGUGCUCUGGGACCCACCCACACACUGGCCAUACAAGUUUAACUGAAGUUCCAAUGUGAUGGAUGACAGGAAGUAGUGUACGAGGAGAGAACAUACCUUAAGAGAGGAAAUUCUUUCAGAGAUCUCAAGAGUUUGAUCUACUACCAGCUGUGGUUCUGCCAUGUGGAGACUCUACCAACACUUAGAUGGUGUUUUCACAAGUGUGCGCUGACUAUCCUGUAAUUCAACUGCACGGAGGAGCACGACAGCCAAGGCUGGAACGAGCUCACACUGUUGAGCGUUACAGAAGGGACAUUACGGACAUUCAGGAGAGAAAAUAUUUAUAAGAGAGAGCAAGCGGCGACUCAAACAGGGGAAUGGCCUAAAAGGACUGGAGGACCACCUUGUCGCACAUAGAGAAGUGACACUUUUAGGCAUGUGAUUGAGAUUGUUUUUUUUUUUUCCCCUAGCUUUAUAUUUUUAGCUUUCCUAGUAUAUGCUACUAUCUAGGCCUCUAACCAUGUCUAUAUCAGAUACCACACAGGAUUUCAAUAAAAUUUACAUCUUUACCGUAUAUGA